GACGAACGCUGGCGGCGUGCUUAACACAUGCAAGUCGAACGGUAAGGCCCUUCGGGGUACACGAGUGGCGAACGGGUGAGUAACACGUGGGUGAUCUGCCCUGCACUUCGGGAUAAGCCUGGGAAACUGGGUCUAAUACCGGAUAGGACCACUGCCUGCAUGGGUGGUGGUGGAAAGCUUUUGCGGUGUGGGAUGGGCCCGCGGACUAUCAGCUUGUUGGUGGGGUGAUGGCCUACCAAGGCGACGACGGGUAGCCGGCCUGCGAGGGUGACCGGCGACGCUGGGACGGGGAUACGGCCCAGACUCCGAGGGGAGGCAGCAGUGGGGAAGAUUGCACAAUGGGCGCAAGCCUGAUGCAGCGACGCCGCGUGAGGGGUGACGGGCUUCGGGUUGUAAACCUCUUUCAGCACCGACGAAGCGCAAGUGACGGUAGGUGCAGAAGAAGGACCGGCCAACUACGUGCCAGCCGCCGCAGUAA
rnacentral:rRNA from 1 species